rnacentral:rRNA from 1 species
UGGGGAAUAUUGGACAAUGGGCGAAAGCCUGAUCCAGCCAUGCCGCGUGAGUGAUGAAGGUCUUCGGAUCGUAAAGCUCUGUGGGAAGGGACGAAAAAGUCAGACCCAAUACGUCUGACCUUGACGGUACCUUCUUAGCAAGCACCGGCUAACUCCGUGCCAGCAGCCGCGGUAAUACGGAGGGUGCAAACGUUGCUCGGAAUUAUUGGGCGUAAAGCGCACGUAGGCGGUUCGGUAAGUCGGAUGUGAAAUCCCUCGGCUCAACCGAGGAAGGGCAUCCGAAACUGCCGGGCUUGAGUACGGAAGAGGGUCUCGGAAUUCCCGGUGUAGAGGUGAAAUUCGUAGAUAUCGGGAGGAACACCAGUGGCGAAGGCGGAGACCUGGGCCGAUACUGACGCUGAGGUGCGAAAGCGUGGGGAGCAAACAG